UUUUGAUAGGACUUCUUACUCUCCAGCGUAAGAGCAGAUUUCUUACUCUCCAGAGAGAAUGUUCGAAGGCCAGGGUGUCUAGAAAGGAAAUGACGUCUUAACUAUAGUAUGAAAGGAAGCAGGCAAACCAAGAACGGCUGCGAGGAGAGAAAGUCCCAGGCGACAGAAGCAGUGUGCAAGCGUCCUGAGGUGCACGAGAGUAAAGCAAGGCAGAGGCACUGAAAGCCACGGCGCUAUGAAGUACAGAGUUCUGGAAGCAGAAGAAGGAAAGAGGAAGCUACAAAAAUACACAGACACUAGAUCCCAGAAGACUAUGAACUAGAGGUUUCGUUCUGACAGAAUAGGGACCAUUAGAACACGUGUGCGGAGAACAGAGCUACCGCUGCUUAGGAAGAUCAACCUGGGGUGGCCAGUUUGCAACAAAGAGUUGAGUUUUGUUCUCUCACCUAAUUUACAACUUUUGAUCCUGUUCCUGUGCCAGUACUGGAGAUCAAAGCCAGGGCCUUGCACAUUCCACGUUUCUGAGGUCCCUUCAUCCCGUUCAUAGACAAACCUGCUCGGAGAAUGAGAGUUUAUAUCCACUCCUCCAUGCAGCAGCCAGAAAGGAAAAGGCUUGCUUCUCUGGGGAGGGCUUGUGAUAGCCCAGCAAGCCUAGCCCCAGCCACUCACAUCCGUCCCUGGCAUGGUGAUCCUGAGUGAUGUGAAAGUCUUAUGCCAGUAUCAUCUCCGGUUACACAGUAAAUUAUAAGAUGGAUGAAGCAAAGAAGUGCAGGCCGACAGGAACCGGAUAUAGAUCUCUCCUGAGAGACACAGCCAGAAUACAGCAAAUACAUAGGCGAAUGCCAGCAGCAAACCACUGAACUGAGAGCGGGAUCCCGGGUGAAGGAAUCAGAGAAAGAACUGGAAGAGCUUGAAGGGUCUUGAGACCCGAUAAGAACAACAAUGCCAAGCAACCAGAGCUUCCAGGGACUAAGCCACUACCCAAAGACUAUACAUGGACUGACCCUGGACUCUGACCUCAUAGGUAGCAAUGAAUAGCCUAGUAAGAGCACCAGUGGAAGGGGAAGCCCUGGGUCCUGCCAAGACUGA
ensembl:lncRNA